rnacentral:rRNA from 1 species
ACAUGCCUACAUCAUAGCGUGAAUGCACCAGAUCUCAUUAGAACUCUAUAGUUAAGCACGCUCAGGCUAGAGUAGUACUGGGAUGGGUGACCGUCUGGGAAGUACUACUCUUUUACAUGCC